UAAAUAGCCAGGCCGGCUCUCGCUGGUCGCCGGCUUCUUAGAGGGACUGUCAGCGUCUAGCUGACGGAAGUUUGAGGCAAUAACAGGUCUGUGAUGCCCUUAGAUGUUCUGGGCCGCACG
rnacentral:rRNA from 1 species